CCGCCGCCGCCUCCGCCUCCGCCUCCCCCCUUCCCUCUCCUCGUUUUUUUUUCCUUCAGAAAUUAAUGCUCACCACCGCCGCCCUUCGCCUCUCCUCCUGUCCUCCUCUGUUCCGCCGCCGUCGCCGCCUCCCUCCUUCCCCCUCUGUAAAUCCGUCGAGCACAGAUCUAAGCCCUAAACUCCCUCUUCUCUUGCCUCGCCAUCAGCUUCCCUUCUCCGUCUCCACCGCUCUCUCCACCUCCGAGCCCUAAAUCCCCAAAUCCAAACGCCACCCCUUCGAUUCCGGCGACUGUACAGCCAUAGGGCUGCCGCCGCGGUGCCUUCUCCUGGUUAGCGAAGACGAUGGAAAACUUGUUGAAGAAAUUUGGCUUUUCUGUUCUUGGUUAACGAUUUGUUGAAGAAAUUCGUUUUUCUGUUCUUGGCUUUUCCAGAUUUUGUUCUUGGUUAAUGAAGAUGAUGAAAAAUUUGUUCUUGGUUUUUCUGUUUUUGGUUAGCAAAAAUUUGUUGAAGAAAUUGUUCUUGGGCUAAAGAUUUGAUUUUUAUUCUUGUUCUUUUGCUUAAUUUUGUUCACUGCUCCGGAUGGAGAGAGGCGGCGAUGAGGCAGGUGGCUGUGCCGACGCCGGGGAGGGAGGUGGCGCAGGUGUGGCUCCGCCGCUUACUGUUGCCGGGAGGAGGUGAAGAAGAAAGAAGAUAAACACAAAAAUAAUUAGUUGAUACUUACUUUUUCUAAAACAAGUGGGACCUUACAAUUUACAACACUAACUCAACACUCCUUAAUCUCCGUGCCCAAAAGAAAGGGGACAAGAUUACCGGGACGGAGGGAGUACAAUAUAAAAAGUAUCAAAUAUUUAUGAAUUUUUCUGUAGUUCAAGACUGGAGCAUAGCAUCUGCAAAAGCCAACGGAGCACAGAAUCUGUAAAAGCCACCAAAAAAAAAAAGGUUUAAGUGAAUAUUCAAGUUGGUAUGAAGAAGAAGAAAUUUCAUAUCACCCAUAAAAGAGUUCCCUCAUGUUAAUGAUACAUUUCAAUAGGUUUCAAAACCAAGAUUAUAUUUGUAUAUUUAUAAUCUACAUGGGAAAUUUUGAUGGAGGACAAAGAAAUACAAGCAUGUAUAUAUAUUUCAUUUUCAUUAGUUUUUCAUUUAUUUGACUCAAGAACAGUAUUAAAUACAAAAAAAAGUUCAUUAUAUAUAUUUAUGUGAAUGCUUUCUUUCAUCGUAUUUACUGAUUUCCAUGUAAACCAAACUCAAUAUAAUUGUGAAAAUAAUGUAAACAGCCAAGUUACAGAAACUAUUUUUUCAACAGUGCCUGUGGCGAGACUCCGAGUUGAUGAUAAUACCUUAUAGUGGUGGAGGCGGCCAAACUGAGAGUGCGUAUGAAAGGUGAAGAUUUAGGAGUGACGUGAGAGAUGGUAGCAUAAAACUGUUAAUCUGCAAAUUAACUCAAAUUAGAUUCAAAAUGCCAUAAAACAAAGUAAUCACCAAGUCUAAAAAGAGCACAACAGAGACACCAAAAAAAACUAUUCUGUAAACCAUUCAACCUCAUAGCGUAGUAACUCACCAAGGCCUUAUCUUCAAGACCAUUUCUUGACAGCAUACUGAUAAUCAAGUUCCAAGAAACGGAGUUCCUUUCCGACAUUUGAUCGAACACUUGAUAUGCAUUGUCGACAUCAUUUAAUUUGCAGUAAGAAUCUAAAAUAGCGUGGUAGGAGAAUAUGUUUCUCAGAGGCAUUUGGUCGAACAGGCGGCGGCCGGCUGACGUACGGCCGCAUUUUGAAUAUAGCAUCAGGCUGUUUACCAGAAAAGUAUUUGAAAUUUGGCCGGUGCGAAAAAUCUGAGCUUGAAUUAUUUUUCCUGCCUUGUACGCUUUAUGAUCUAUGCCGAAUAAAAUUUGUGUAGAUAUUCAUAGAUCUAACAUAAUAAUAUCAUAAACACAAAAUAUAACUCUAACAAGAAAAAACUAAUAUGGAAAAAAAUAUACUUAUUCGGUAUUAAAAAACAAAGCAUCAUCCAAAAAAAACUUUUCAAAUGCUAUUCCUAGAUCUACAAAACUGAUACUAUAAAACAAAAAAAGAAAAAAUAAAAAAUUUAAAAAUGAAAACUAAUAAACGAAAAAAAAAAUAAGAUCUUAAUCAGUAUAAAAACGCUGGAAUUGGAAUUAAAGAUGCAGUCGAGGGAGAAGGCCGAGAUCUGGAGCGCUGGAACUGGAAUUAAAAAUGCAAAUAUGCAGUAGAGGGAGAAGGCCGAGAUCUGGAGCGGCUUGGGCUUGGGCGACGCCGUCGUUUGAAACACGAAGGGCGGUGGGGGGCGAUCGUAAGGAGUCGCCGACAUGAAUUUCAGAGAUAAGCUGGGAGAUGGGGCGAAAGCUAGGGUUUUAUUUUUGGGAGUGGUCAAAGAAAGCGAUGCUCGAUAAUAUGGCGGACGACGAGAAUAUGGCAGACGACGAGAGAGAAGGUGAAUAUGGAGAAAGAUGGAAUUGAAGGGGAGAAAGAUGCAACGAGGGAGAAGAGGAAAAGGGUAGAUCUGGAGAUAGCGGCGCCGCUCAAUUGUGUUAAACCCUAAAAUGAGAUAAGUGUUUAUAUUAUUGAUUAUGUAGUUGGGCUGCUGUACAAAAUAAUUACUAAUAGUUUAGUUGUAUCUAUGGGCUUAUUGUGGGCUAGCCAUGUUACACCACCAACAACCAGAUGUCGCCACCUCCAUUCAUCAUACCUAAUUUUUAUUUAUUUAUUUUUUAUUUUUGCAUCAUCUCUGCUUUGAAUUUUCUAAUGUGAAUAUGGAUAUGGAUCCAAUAUUUUUGCAAUACAUAUUUUUGCAAUUCUGAUAAGCUCGCCAAUUUUCAGCGACCUUUUAAGAUGUGACUUAUUUAAUUCUAUAUUUUAAAAUUGAAAUUAGACUUAAUAUUUAGUAUUUUAAUUCAUAAAAACAAAUAAAUUUAAGAAAUAUAUGGAAAAAUAUAUUGUCUCUUAUUUAUUUUUGUACAAGUACUACUUUUUUUUUGUAUAAGAUAUAAUAAAACAGUAACCGUAUUACAAAUCUGAAAUAUUAAAGCUUAAAUUAAUACAAAUAUGAAAUAUUAAAAAUCUGAAAUAUAAGAUAUAAUAAAACGGUAAUAGAUAUCACAUAUUUACUAUCAUUACAAACCUAGAGUUUUAGUACUAAUAUUUAAUACAAAAAACUUACUUAAUGCUAGAAAGUUGUUUGUUAUGUUUUUCAAAAGUCAAAUAUAUAACAUUAUAUAUAAUAGAUAUCAACAUUUUACAAAUGUUGGGCUUCGAAGUCAGCGUGAUUCUUCAAUUAUUGUUAAAACAAAAUAUAUCAUAGAUAUACAAUUUAUUGUUAAACUAGAAGUUUAUUUUUUUAUUAUUUAAAUAAAUUAUUUCUAUGAGAUACAUAGAAAUUAUAUCGAACUUUUUUUUUUCAUAAGCCCAAUACUUAUUAAUGCUUUUAGUCCGAUUAAUUAUUUGCUCUUGGGCCUUCAUAUUUUGUUGUGGGCCAAAUUAAAAUAAUAAUAAUAAUAAUAAUAAAGUAUGGUUUUUGGUCCAUACGUAGAAUUACUUUAUGCACAUAGAUUUUUUUAUGUAUUUUUAAUACAUAAGUUACUUAUUUAAUAUGAACUGUAAUACAUGUUUUAAUAUGAAUUGUAUGAUAUGAAAGUCAUUUAUUAUUUUAAUUCCUAUUUUUGUAUUAUGUAAUAUACAUGAUUAAUUUUUUAUUAUGUACCACUACUAUACUUCACAAAUACGUAUGAAUAUUCAUGUCGUGCGAAGCGCUGGUAUGUUACUCUUAUUAUAUAUGUCGUGCGAAGCACGAGUAUGUUUUAUAUCUACUUUUUUUUACAAUUCUAUAUAUUACUCUUAUUAUAUAUGAAUUGUAUUUGUGUUGUACUAUCUUUUAAUAUGAAUUGUAUGAUAUAAAAGUUAUUUUUUAUUUUUAUUCCUAUUUUUUGUAUUAUGUAAUGUACAUGAUUAGUUUUGUUUAACCACUUUCUAUUAUGUUUUGUAUCACUUUGUUUUUCUUUUUACAAUUCUAUAGUACCGCUACAAUACUUCACAAAUACGUAUCAAUAUUCAUGUCGUGCUACUCUUAUUAUAUAUGUUGUGCGAUUUGUAUCACUUUUUUUUUUGCUUUUUACAAUUUUAUAUGUUACUGUUAUUAUAUAUGAUAAAUACGUAUAAAUAAUUGGGUCGUGCGGAGCACGGGUAUAAUACUAGUUAUAUAUGAAUAUCUAACAAGUUGAGUUCAAGCUCAAUCUGGAAUUCGACAUUAUUGAAUAUCUUAAGAGUCGAGCUCAAAUAAUAAGAUAAAACCUCAAAUCAAACUUGAGUCGAGUUCGAACAAUUUAAUAUUUAAAUGAAUUGAGCUCGAAUUUAUUGGUGUUUCGAUUAGACUCGACUCAUUUAUAGUCGUGAGCUCCUUGUGCCAGGUAAGCCUAUGGCAAAAUAAUUGGAAAAAAAUAGGGACAAAAAGGAAUAAUGGAAGAUGAGGUCGAAUACGUUAUCCUAAUCUCAAGAUGGGUCCGCUUUCAAUCAAACUCCCAAUAUUCGCCGUUUCCUCCUCAAAGCCUCUCACUCCGCCGCCGCCGUCGCAGUCGCCGCAUCUCAAUGUCAGAUUCAGCUUCGUUCCAUCAAUAUCUUCGAGAAUUUCGCAUCGAGCCGCCGCCGUCGUCGGCAGUUUGCGCGCCUCAGCAACUCCGGCGCGCGAUAGAGUGAUCGAUUUCGGGAAAUACAAAGGGAGGAUGCUGGGGAGCCUGCCGUCGGCGUAUCUGAAAUGGGUGUCGAUGAAUCUACGGGCGGGCGAUACGGAGGAGUGGGCCAGGCUGGCGGACCGGGUACUGGCCGACCCGGUCUACCGCGACCGCCUCGAGUGGGAGGCGGCGGAGAACAUUCUCAGCGGCAACGCCGCCGCCGCAGCCGCCGCCUCCGGCGGAAGCGCGCUGCUCGAGAUCAGCGAGAGGUUUGGGUGGGACAACGAGGAUAAGAGCGGGUGGAGCAAGGUGGAUUUCGGGCUGCUAGGGACGUCCAAGGGCGCCAGGAUUCCCCGCGCGGCGGCGCGUGUGGGGAGUUUGAAGAAGGAGGGGGAGGAGCGGAGGAACGAGAGCGUGGAGGGGGGAGGAGAGGAGAGAGGAGGGAGAGAGUGAGGGGCUGGAGGGAGAAGGCGACUAGUGCCGGGACAACGAGGGAAGACGUGGAGAGUUCUUCUCCGGCGAGUGGCGGAGGCGCGGCGGGGAGUCCGUUUCCGGGGAGGGAGUCUCUGUUGAGAAAGGCUCUUAAUCGACAAAGAUUCUAGUCAAGUUUUUCCUUUUCUUUUUUUUUACUCCAAUUUUUAAUUAAUAGUUCAAAUAGUAAUUUUCUAUGCACCACAUUUAAAAUGGUACUAUUAUUAAUGGUAUUUAUUUUCAUGAUUUAUAAAAGGUGUGAUUGAAUAUUCUUAAAAAUAAAUUUUUUCAAUGUGAUUUUUAAUAAGACAAUAAUCAAGUAAACUUAAUUUAAAAUUUUAAAUAAUAAAAAUAAUCAAUUGUUAAAUAUUUUUAUUCUUAAAAAUAAAUUUCUUUAAUUAU
rnacentral:lncRNA from 1 species